rnacentral:rRNA from 1 species
GACGAACGCUGGCGGCGUGCUUAACACAUGCAAGUCGAACGGAAAGGCCCUGCUUGCAGGGUACUCGAGUGGCGAACGGGUGAGUAACACGUGGGUGAUCUGCCCUGCACUUCGGGAUAAGCCUGGGAAACUGGGUCUAAUACCGGAUAGGAGCCAUUUUUAGUGUGAUGGUUGGAAAGUUUUUUCGGUGUAGGAUGAGCUCGCGGCCUAUCAGCUUGUUGGUGGGGUAAUGGCCUACCAAGGCGGCGACGGGUAGCCGGCCUGAGAGGGUGGACGGCCACAUUGGGACUGAGAUACGGCCCAGACUCCUACGGGAGGCAGCAGUGGGGAAUAUUGCACAAUGGGCGCAAGCCUGAUGCAGCGACGCCGCGUGGGG